CAGCCGCCGCGGGAAUACGUAGGUGGCAAGCGUUGUCCGGAAUUAUUGGGCGUAAAGGGCUCGCAGGCGGUUUCUUAAGUCUGAUGUAAAAGCCCCCGGCUCAACCGGGGAGGGUCAUUGGAAACUGGGAAACUUGAGUGCAGAAGAGGAGAGUGGAAUUCCACGUGUAGCGGUGAAGUGCGUAGAGAUGUGGAGGAACACCAGUGGCGAAGGCGACUCUCUGGUCUGUAACUGACGCUGAGGAGCGAAAGCGUGGGGAGCGAACAGGAUUAGAUACCCCAGUAGUCCCUGUCUCUUAUAA
rnacentral:rRNA from 1 species